AAUGAGAAGAUGAAUGCAGCGGUGUGUGUGCUCUGGUCUGUUCUUGUCUCACACCUACGAUGUAAUCUGGAGGAAGAGGAUGGGUUAGCUCAUGACACACAGCAUUAUUCCAUUUCGGAAGAGAGCAGGCUGCCAUCCUGAUCCCCUUUUUCCUAGCACUGGCCUGGCAUCCAGUGAUGGUAACGUCAGUCAAAAUUUUCUUAUCAGCAACAUCGGGACCGUCAAUGUGCUGAAGACAGUGGGAUGAAAAAAAAAAAAAGAAUUUGGGCUAAAAAUUUCCCUGGUAAAAGGAACUCCUAUUUAAUCCAAUUGGAUGGUUUGAGGCAUCUGGUCACACUGAAACUUAUUUUUUGCUCACAGAAUUGAAGGAUUCCCAUCCUGGCGGAACAAGUGUCAGAACUACCAUUGUGUUUAGCAGUAGCAAAAGGAGGAACAACUCACCAGUGUCUCCUUGAGUUUCUUCCCCAUGAGCCACAGUUACGCAGCUCACAGUGUUGAGUUGGUGGCCACUGCACCAAGCCAUGGCAACUAGUUACAGCUCAAAUACUAUACAAAGAUUGUGAUCAGCUGACUGGUUCUCCCUUCCAAGUCUGACUGUACCUUUCCAAAAGCAAGCAAUGGGGCAGUUGUCUGUUCAAUGGUUAUUCUUGGAAUGAGAACAAUCACAGUGGUGAAAAGAAGACAUCACACUUGGCUGGUGGAUCACUUGGUGGGAAAGGUUGGUAAUUGAGAGAGCUGGCUACAGAACAUGGACACCUUACAUCUUGGUUAAGUGCUAUCUCAUGAUCUCUUUUUUUGAGGAACAAGGAAAUAUUUUGACAAAGUCUAGUACAAAUGAGCCCUGAGGGUAUAGUGAAGUAGAAAUAAUUACUGCUGACGAGAAGUACAAAGACUGUAAUAGCAGUUAGGGAUAAUAAUUGCCAUAUCUGAGGAAAUCAUAAAGCCAGAGCCAGAUUUCACAUCUUGAAGAAUGACUCAGAAAGGAAACUGGAGGUCUGAAAACCUGUUGGACCUGGGGAAAGACUGGUCCUGACUGGAGCUCAAUGUAUAUCCCAUGCAGUAUGUGAUUCUCUGGCCUCUUGAAGUGAUUGCAAUAGCCCCUUCUGACCUUCAUACUUAAGAAUCUUAUAAGACUGGUCCAUAGCAGAGCCAAGCACUUGAGAUCCUUUUUCUCACUAUUAUUGCCAGAUCAGCCAAAAUGUGAUUACAGGUACGCUCCCUCCCACUCAUUCCUUUGGAUCAAGCCGUUGUUACAGCUGCACAUCAAGCACCAGCAUGAAAAUUCAGACAUCCAAAGGAGUGCACAUACAGUUCAUCAGGAUCCUGUGCCAGAGACCGUAGCAGCAUAUGAAACAGUUGCACUAGUGUCAGGAUGUUGGGAGCUCAGCUCUGAAAUUUAUCUUGGUACAAGCUGGGUGCAAGGAGCCGGGAUAGAUGCAGUCAUAGAAACUACCUAUGAGGACUUGUCAGUGCUGGCAUUUGAGUCAAAGGUAGCACUUUCUUCAAGGAGGUAAGCAGCCACCCAUUAUUCUGCAUAUACAAAGAGAGGGUAAGGAACAUGCUUAACGCUACAGACUAGGAGAACUGAGCCUAGGUCAGUGCAAUCCACCUGCUCCUGCCCUAUCUCAGGAUGCAGCCACCAGGUACUUCACAGGCAGACCCAGGAUGCUGCUUUGUAAGCAGAUUUCAGUUGCUGUGGCUGUGCUCUGAGCUGGCCAGAAGCUGUGCAGCUGAUCUAACACAGCCUGCCUCACAGCAGAGCCUGUCACCCUAUGUCCCCUCUCUCAGAAUGGGGCCAUCUUAACAGCUCUGUGUGUCCAAGGCUGGAAUGACCCUACAUGUGUCUCUGCACAGCAACUCUAUGGCAUCAGUGGGGUCCCUUGGCUCU